GGCACUUUAACGUCAUCCGUCUAGCGGGGCCGCAGGAAGUCGAAUAGCCUUCUUUCUCAUUGCGGAUUACCAGGUGGGACUGACGAAGCUCCUCUUUCACGGGUUUCUUUACUGUUUUCAGGAGUGACAAAAUAACCUCUUUAAUAGAAGAAAAGCUGAAGAUUUCAACAUUUUCUGAAGGGAGCUACAUACAGAGAUGUAAACUCAGGCAGAUUUUCCAGGCUGAUAUCCGUGCAGCAGAGUCGAAGCAGACCUGUCAGAAAACAUCUCUAAGGUGUUAUGAAUCUCAUAACUAGAUACACAUCAUAAGAUGACUAGAGCUUACGGCUGUUUGGAUCCAGCCUCACUUGUGAAGACUUCAGAUGACGUAAACACUCACAAAGACUUUAUAUGAUGGCAUGCAUCUAUAGAUGGACAUAAACAACUGCCAAAUGUAAUAUAUUGUAAUUACUGCACCAAAGCACAACUCUGCAGAUUUUCAACCCACUUAAUAUUGUUACAAAUACAAUAUGUUUAUAUUUGAAAAAAUAUUCUUUAGCUAAUUUUACAGAUUUAUUUCCAUUUAUUUGUCCACAAUACUCUGCCAAAAUGAUGAUUUGCAUCAUCCAAAUAUUGUUAAUGUACAUAUUACAGACAUUGUAACAACACAAAGUGGGUUGAAAUCCUGCUAACUUACUCUAUAAAAAUAACUGUCUGUUAACUAAACAUGACUUUAACACAUGACUUGUAUUAUAUUAGAGCUGUUGUGAUAUGAAUAUUGAUUUGUUUCCAGAAUAUGCUCCUCAGUGUGACACUUACAGUACCUCAGGCUGAUUAAGGGAUCUUUUGUAACCUUGAAACAUGCAUUUUCUUAAAAUGGCAGUAUUGUGAAGCACAAUAUACCCUAUCAUGGUUUUACUUUGGUGAAACUGCAGAUCAUUUUUCAAACUAAAGUUUUGUUACCGUGGUUCUACUAUACUGCUCUACAAAGGCUAAGUGCAGUAACUACGCAAACACUAAAACCGAGAAAAAAGUUCUUAAAGUUUUUUUUACAUCAGCAAGUCAAACUUGUUACUGCAAUUUUGGCAAACACAUUUCUCUGAUGGGACAAAAUUAAACCAGGAGACUUUGUCACAAGACAACAGAUAUCACAAAGCCCAUUUCAUUCUUUACCUCAAUUUUGACCAAAUGCAUAGUUACUGCGCUUUGGCUUUGUUGGGCAGUAUAGUAUGAAUAUAGUAAUACUGGAGUGAAACUAUGGUAACCAUAUAUUUUAAAAUCAUGGUAAAGUUUGUGGUUACUAAAAUGUAGUACUACCUAUGCUGUUGUAAGAGAAUGUUUAUUCUUUAUUAUUGUUGUGAAACCAUGUUGAGUUUAUAUUUACCAUGUUUUACUGCAAAUGAUGGUAAAAUCAUGGAUAACUUUGCAUGGGUACAGAAAGGUGUAAACUGGUUGUUUUUAUUUGGAAGUCACGUUGGUUUUAAUGCAUCUGAUAAAUGUAUAUGCAUUUGGAUAUUUAUUCUGUUUACUGACAAUAAUAAAUUUGCAGUUGCUGAUGUAAA